rnacentral:rRNA from 1 species
GUGAGGAAUAUUGCUCAAUGGGCGAAAGCCUGAAGCAGCAACGCCGCGUGCGCGAUGAAGGUCUUCGGAUCGUAAAGCGCUUUUGAGAGGGACGAGAUAGGACGGUACCUCUUGAAUAAGUCACGGCUAACUACGUGCCAGCAGCCGCGGUAAAACGUAGGUGGCAAGCGUUAUCCGGAUUCACUGGGCGUAAAGCGAGUGCAGGUGGUUGUGUAAGUUGGAUGUGAAAUUUCCAGGCUUAACCUGGAAGGGUCAUUCAAUACUGCGCGACUUGAGGGCAGAAGAGGGGGGUGGAAUUGCCGGUGUAGUGGUGAAAUGCGUAGAUAUCGGCAGGAACACCUGUGGCGAAAGCGGCCCCCUGGUCUGCUCCUGACACUCAGACUCGAAAGCUAGGGUAGCGAACGGGAUUAGAAACCCCAGUAGUCC